rnacentral:rRNA from 1 species
AAUCAACGCUGGCGGCGUGCCUAACACAUGCAAGUCGAACGAGAAAGUGGAGCAAUCCAUGAGUACAGUGGCGACCGGGUGAGUAACACGUGACUAACCUACCCUCGAGUGGGGGAUAACUCCGGGAAACCGGGGCUAAUACCGCAUAACAUCGCUUGGUGAACUUCCUUGUGAUCAAAGGAGCAAUUCGUUUGAGGAGGGAGUCGCGUCUGAUUAGCUAGUUGGUGAGGUAACGGCCCACCAAGGCGAUGAUCAGUAGCCGGCCUGAGAGGGCGCACGGCCACACUGGAACUGAAACACGGUCCAGACUCCUACGGGAGGCAGCAGUGGGGAAUUUUGCGCAAUGGGGGAAACCCUGACGCAGCAACGCCGCGUGGAGGAUGAAGUCCUUUGGGAUGUAAACUCCUUUCGACCGGGAAGAUUAUGACGGUACCGGAGGAAGAAGCACCGGCUAACUCUGUGCCAGCAGCCGCGGUAAAAC